rnacentral:rRNA from 1 species
GACGAACGCUGGCGGCGUGCUUAACACAUGCAGGUCGAACGAUGAAGCCGGAGCUUGCUCUGGUGAAUUAGUGGCGAACGGGUGAGUAACACGUGAGUAACCUGCCCUUGACUCUGGGAUAACUGCGGGAAACUGUAGCUAAUACCGGAUACGACCCUCGGAGGCAUCUCCUGGGGGUGGAAAGAAUUUCGGUCAAGGAUGGACUCGCGGCCUAUCAGCUAGUUGGUGAGGUAAAGGCUCACCAAGGCGACGACGGGUAGCCGGCCUGAGAGGGUGACCGGCGACACUGGGACUGAGCCACGGCCCAGACUCCUACGGGAGGCAGCAGUGGAGAAUAUUGCACAUUGGGCGCAAGCGUGAUGCAGCAACGCAGCGUGAGGGAUGACGGCCUUCGGGUUGUAAACCUCUUUUAGCAGGGAAGAAGCGAAAGUGACGGUACCUGCAGAAAAAGCACCGGCUAACUACGUGCCAGCAGCCGCCGUAA